ensembl:lncRNA
GGGGAAAACACAAACAUGAACCAUCUCUCUCUUGACUUCAAGCUGUAGAUGGGUCGUCUUCUAUGAAGUAGGGAUGAGUCGGUCGCGACCGAUUCGUUCACAACAAACAAAUCCUGAUCGUGAACGACAAGAACUGGUUCCCCAAAACAAGAAGAACUGGCCUGAGUCAAAUGGAGAAGAAUCGCUUUGACAAAAUGAAAGAUCAUAUGAGAAGGCUCAGAUCCCGGCCCGACCACUCGGCUGUCCAGAAGACAUUGGAGGAAUUCUGCCUUCAAUACACGUUCCCUCAGUGUCCUGAGCCAAGAAGUAUCCGAGACAUGGAUCCUGCACAGAACACAGUUGAUGAUUUAAUGCUGAGGAUUUGUCAUCUUGAAAACGUUGGCAACAGUAAAGGUGUCUGUCUGUACACGGUGGACGGAAUGCCCCUGACGGAUGACCCCUUCUUCAACACGUGGUCUUUAAAAGACAGACAUAUCAAUGACAAAGACAAACUGUAUGCUAUAUUCACACCAAGGCAGAACCUAGUCAACAGUAUUGUGAUGAGAAACCCGACAGUGGAAGAAACCCCAGGAGAGGAUACGGUUUGGUGUCACAUAAUGCUUAAGGGAAACUUUGAAAUAUCAGUAAACUUGAGGUCUGACACCAUUACCAAUUUGAAAGACAAAUUGUCAAAUGAAAGUGGAAUACCAGCACAUGCUCUACAUUACCAAGGGUACCACAGUGGUAGUGACGUUUUGCUUGAUUUGGGUAUUUCCGAAGACAGAGGUUCAAAGCUGAACUUUUCCUUGUCUUCGUUUCAUGAAGAGAUGCCAGACAAUGAUGCGAUGUUCAGUAAUGAUGUUGAACCCUCGGUCCAACAAAGCACUAAAGGACUGAGUGUGUUCCUCUCCUCACUUUAUUCUGUG